rnacentral:lncRNA from 10 species
CUGAUAUCCACUUGCUGACAAAUGAAUCUCUCUGGCCCCUGGACUGUGCCCUGAAACACAGCUUAAAACAGCAGAAUGAACAGUAAUCCCAGAGAUCCUGAGAUGAGAAAAGGGUGUUUGACUUAUUCAAAGAAGACCAAGGAAGCCCAAAGACCAGAGAAGAGUGCAGGAAAGGGGCGGCGGUCUGAGAUGCAGUCAGAGCAGUGGCAAGCCCCCAGAGUCUGUGGCAAAGACUUCAGGUUUCAUCCUGAAGAGGAAGACAGGUCUUUGGAGAGUUUUGAUCAAGGAAGUGAGAUGAAAUAUCUUAGGCUUACAAAGAACUACUCUGACAUCUAAAUGGAAAAUGGACUGAUGAAGCAAAAGAAGCCACAAGGAAGCCAGUUCAGAGGCUAUUGAAAUGCUCCAGCCCAAGUUACAUAUGUUUCUUGUCUUAUGCAUUUACAACAAGCCCUGGUCAACUUUGUCCUAA